UCAAAGGAAUUGACGGGGGCCCGCACAAGCGGAGGAACAUGUGGUUUAAUUCGAUGAUACGCGAGGAACCUUACCCGGGCUUGAACUGCAGCGGAAGGAAGCAGAGAUGUUGACGCCCUUCGGGGCCGCUGUGGAGGUGCUGCAUGGUUGUCGUCAGCUCGUGCCGUGAGGUGUCGGCUUAAGUGCCAUAACGAGCGCAACCCCUUUUCCCAGUUGCCAUCGGGUAAUGCCGGGCACUCUGGGGACACUGCCACCGCAAGGUGCGAGGAAGGUGGGGAUGACGUCAAAUCAGCACGGCCCUUACGUCCGGGGCUACACACGUGUUACAAUGGGUGGUACAGAGCGUCGGGUGUACGCAAGUGCAUUCUAAUCGUGAAAUCCAUCCUCAGUUCGGACUGGGGUCUGCAACCCGACCCCACGAAGCUGGAUUCGCUAGUAAUCGCGCAUCAGCCAUGGCGCGGUGAAUACGUUCCCGGGCCUUGUACACACCGCCCGUCAAGCCAUGAAAGCCUGGGGCGNNNNNNNNNNNNNNGACCGCGAGGGUCGGCCUAGGGUGAAACAGGUGAUUGGGGCUAAGUCGUAACAAGGUAGCCGUACCGGAAGGUGCGGCUGGAACACCUCCUUU
rnacentral:ncRNA from 1 species